UGUCCCUGAACAAUGUGGACCUGACCAACGGCGUGCAACCUGGGAUGAGCCAGAUGUCUCGAACACGACCAACAUCAGGCAGUUCCAGAUGAUGGUCUUCGACAACCAGGAUUUCAGCUCCAAGUUACCCACUUCCGAGAUAAAGUUUCCUAAUUAAUGGGAUGCUGGAGGCGAGUCGAGAUUUUAGACCAAUUUUGUUACUGACUGUCGCAGCUGAUCGUCACCGUGAGAUACAUGAUGGUGGACCUAACCAAUGUUUCUUGCUGAAGCAAGAACUCCAGACAUUCAAUGUUUCAUAGUGUCUGCAGCAUCCCCAGGUGUGUCUACUCCUGUACGAAUGAUGGUCGAGUUUCAUUGCCUACUACUUCGUCGAUUAAGUUGUCCCAUGUUCCUUGACUGUCAAUGGUAUCCAGGACAUCAAACUUGUGUGCAAGCCGGUACAUUUAUUAUGCUAAAACAGAGAAUUAGAAGUUCAGACAGGAGUCAGACAUAGAGUGAGAGGAUGCAAAAACGUUCCAUGUGUUAAUUCGAUCUACAUUGCGUGCGUGUGAUCUCUUCAAUGU